rnacentral:rRNA from 1 species
UACGUAGGGGGCGAGCGUUGUCCGGAAUCAUUGGGCGUAAAGCGCGCGUAGGCGGCUCGGUCAGUCGGGUGUGAAAUCCCUGGGCUCAACCUGGGAACUGCAUUCGAUACUGCCGAGCUAGAGUGUGGGAGAGGGUAGUGGAAUUCCCGGUGUAGCGGUGAAAUGCGUAGAUAUCGGGAGGAACAUCAGUGGCGAAGGCGACUGCCUGGCCCAACACUGACGCUGAGGUGCGAAAGCGUGGGUAGCAAACAGG